GCGAUUGUGGCGAAGUGGUUAACGCACCGGAUUGUGGCUCCGGCAUUCGUGAGUUCGAUUCUCAUCAUUCGCC
rnacentral:tRNA from 1 species